rnacentral:lncRNA from 1 species
CCCCACUCAUUUUAAUAUUACAGAAGAGAGUCUAUCAGCUGAAGGAAGAUUACUAUGCAUAAUGAAGGUGUGCUCUGCAUUGAACCUCCACUUAGUGAAACAGUAACUUUUACUCCAGAGUCGUAGUGGUCUCAGACUUGAACUAUGACUGGUUAAGGGAAAUAAAAUAUCACUGCUCACACAUAAUAAUCAAGGUGUUGACAUGAGCUUUA